rnacentral:rRNA from 1 species
AGCGAACGCUGGCGGCAGGCUUAACACAUGCAAGUCGAGCGGGCAUCCUUGUGGUGUCAGCGGCAGACGGGUGAGUAACGCGUGGGAACGUGCCCUUCGGUUCGGAAUAACUCAGGGAAACUUGAGCUAAUACCGGAUACGUGCGAGAGCAGAAAGGUUUAUCUGCCGAAGGAUCGGCCCGCUUCUGAUUAGCUAGUUGGUGAGGUUACGGCUCACCAAGGCGACGAUCAGUAGCUGGUCUGAGAGGAUGAUCAGCCACACUGGGACUGAGACACGGCCCAGACUCCUACGGGAGGCAGCAGUGCGGAAUAUUGGACAAUGGGGGCAACACUGAUCCAGCCAGGCCGCGUGAGUGAUGACGGGCUUAGGGUUGUAAAGCUCUUUUCUCCGGGACGAUAAUGACGGUACCGGAGGAAUAAGCCCCGGCUAACUUCGU